CACUGUUCAGUUACACCAAAAGUGGAACUUAAGGAGCUUGCUUUCUCUGUUUUCAUAAGCACCCUGUCAGACACUUAACUUUCCUCUUCAUAGAAGCCUUAGACCUACAAUUUAGCUAUGGAACACUCACCACCUGGGCUACAAAUGAUGCCUCUAAGGCCCCAGAGCACUGGGAUCCCAGAGAAUGUGUGUGGGGAAGGAGGGGUAUUUUUGUGUUCACCUCUAGGAAAUCACAGCAGCAGACUGAGAAUCCAGAAACUAUCCCAGUGAGGAACUAAAAGCAGCCACUGGAGGGAUGGGCUUUUAAAUGUACUGGGAACCAA
rnacentral:lncRNA from 1 species